rnacentral:rRNA from 1 species
CCUACGGGAGGCAGCAGUGAGGAAUAUUGGUCAAUGGGCGCGAGCCUGAACCAGCCAAGUAGCGUGAAGGAUGACUGCCCUACGGGUUGUAAACUUCUUUUAUAAAGGAAUAAAGUGAGGCACGUGUGCCUUUUUGUAUGUACUUUAUGAAUAAGGAUCGGCUAACUCCGUGCCAGCAGCCGCGGUAAUACGGAGGAUCCGAGCGUUAUCCGGAUUUAUUGGGUUUAAAGGGAGCGUAGAUGGGUUGGUAAGUCAGUUGUGAAAGUUUGCGGCUCAACCGUGAAAUUGCAAUUGAUACUGGCAGCCUUGAGUACAGUUGAGGUAGGCGGAAUGCGUGGUGUAGCGGUGAAAUGCUUAGAUAUCACGAAGAACUCCGAUUGCGAAGGCAGCUUACUAAACUGCCACUGACAUUGAUGCUCGAAAGUGUGGGUAUCGAACAGGAUUAGAUACCCCUGUAGUC